rnacentral:lncRNA from 1 species
UCCUUCAUCAACGACAUCUUCGAGAAGCUCGCCGGGGAGUCGGCCAAGCUCGCCCGCUACAACAAGAAGCCCACCAUCACGUCCCGGGAGAUCCAGACCUCCGUCCGCCUCGUCCUCCCCGGGGAGCUCGCCAAGCACGCCGUCUCCGAGGGCACCAAGGCCGUCACCAAGUUCACCUCCUCCUAGACUGACGACGCGCCGCUUGUUGUGACAGAUGUGGCCGUCUGCUGUAUCUGUAGUCGCUGUUGACUCUGCUUAUCUCCAUCUGCAAGUAGUGGUAGCUGUAGUGCGCGUGCUGGGUGAUGAUUGCCAACGCUUUGUUGGCUGGUUGGAUGUAAGAACUGAACGUGUUGCUUUUGCAAACUGAUGAAAUCUAUCUAGAAAAUGUCGCAGUUGUGGUACUACAUGAUAUUACUAAUGCUGUCAUUUCUACUCUUAUAAACCGAGCCUUUUCAUUUUAUUUGCACAAGUAGUGCCAUUACUGGUUCGGAAGCGCUGAUUGCUUGCCGAAUCUUGUUUUGCAAACUGAGAUGGGAUUUAGAGUGUUGCAUUUCCGCUGCUAGUAAUUACGAUCAGUCCGACCUGAUUUGUACCAGUAGCAAGUGCCUGUACUAAUCUCCGCCAUGUGUUUGUAGCAACACAAGUUAAGUUUUCAGAUGAGAUAUCGCUUUCAGAUUCUUCUGAAACUGAACGCAUCUAUGUUUGGCAAACUGAUGAUAUGUGUAUCUUUGUUGAACUCUGGUUAUCUGCAAGUAGCAGUACUCUUCAUGGAUUGGAGUGGAAAUUGCUGCAUGGUGCUGCAACUUGUGCAAACUGAUGAUAUGUGAUUAAGAAAUAAUGAUGCAUUUCUGUUGCUGGUGAUUUCUUCUGAUGAUAAUCGCACUUGUGUGAUUAUCGUUAACGUUUGCCUUGCCCUGUCCUGUUCUUGGUUCGGUACCCCAAUAGUAUAUCAGUCAGUUCUGCGCGCUACUCUGAAAUUGCCAAACGUAAGUCGUUUUGCAUUGCUUGUUGGAUAAACAAGACGAGGUUCUAGAGCGAUGCUUCUUUGCGUUUAUUUUCUCGCUGUUUACUGAAGAAAACUUGCAUGCCGUUUUGUGCACAAAAGAUUGUGGCCGUAGGUUCAGACUUGGCAGCAUCUGAAGAUGGAUUGGUAACUUUUUUGUGACCGGCCAGCGCCACGGUAGUAUCAUCUACAGUUCGGGGUUGUGAUAUCUUUGGCACAUUUGUUUCUUCAUUCAGGACCGAGGAGAGGAGUCAAGUGAGUGACUCAUAGCUGAAGCGACAGUGGCAUGGCCUCGGUGUAUCAACUGAUUCUAGUUUCUUUUUUGAACAUAACUGAAUAUAGUUUUUGCAUUCAGCUAAUUCCUCGUGUCGUGUGAUGCUAGUUUGCAAACGGUGCUGCAAUACGUAGAAGCAAUGCGUAGCACAAUUAAAAUGGGAUGAUAAUAUAUUCUGAACGAGAAGAAAGACGCACAAUUUAUUCCUUCUUUCUCUUUUGAUUCGAGGAACACUCGCCCACAAAUCGUUCAAAUUCGAAUGCCAAAACAAUUGUUUGUACUGUAAUAUUUCUAUUUUUUUUUUGCCGGGAAACUGUUUCUAGUUAUCAGUAGGUUUUUUAUUUGGGCACCCCGCAAAAAAAGUUUUUUUUAUUUGGGCGUGUUGGCGGCAAAGAGCGAACACGAUCGCGCCCUUCUCCCAGGCCAUUUCGUUUCGUCUCCGGCCUUCAGUGUGCACGCAAAAUCAGUGGCGCGGGGCACGAUCCGGAUGACUCCUCUUCGACCAAUCAGGGCACGCGAGCCACCUCGCCGCGGAUCACCCCCUCGGACUCCUCUUCAACCAAUCAGAGCGCGCGAUCCCACCUCCCACGGAUCGCCCCCUCGAAACCAGAUCGCAGCCGUCCACGCACGACGCAUCCAACGGUCCACGCCCCACCAUCCCUCCCGAAAAACCAAAACCAACGCGCGGCUCCCCGCUCCAAUCCCCCGCCCGCUCGGCGCUCCCCUCCUUCCCUAUUUAACGCCGCCCAUUCCCCUUCUUCCUCCUCACCCCAAAUCCCCCAACCCUCCCAGCGCUCCCCCCUCCUCAACAACCUCCCGGCGCAUCUCCGACUCCAUGGCCCGUACCAAGCAGACGGCGAGGAAGUCCACCGGCGGCAAGGCGCCGAGGAAGCAGCUGGCCACCAAGGCGGCCCGCAAGUCCGCCCCGGCCACCGGCGGCGUCAAGAAGCCCCACCGCUUCCGCCCCGGCACCGUCGCGCUCCGGGAGAUCCGCAAGUACCAGAAGAGCACCGAGCUGCUCAUCCGCAAGCUACCCUUCCAGCGCCUGGUGAGGGAGAUCGCCCAGGACUUCAAGACCGACCUCCGCUUCCAGUCCUCCGCCGUCUCCGCCCUGCAGGAGGCCGCCGAGUCCUACCUCGUGGGGCUCUUCGAGGACACCAACCUCUGCGCCAUCCACGCCAAGCGCGUCACCAUCAUGCCCAAGGACAUCCAGCUCGCCCGCCGCAUCCGUGGAGAGAGGGCCUAAGCUCUGUGCGUCGUCGUCUGUUAGUCGUCGUCUUAGCCAGAUGUGUUCAGCGGUGAAAUUGUGCGUGUUUGUAGUGUCUGUUCGUGCCAUGGUGGAUGUAGUGUUCCUGAUCUGAUGUCACCUCCUUGCUGUCAUCAGUAACUGAAAUGAAAAUGUUUGUUAUCUGUUCUAAGACCUGUGCCUUCUGAUGCUUGUUUUUCAUUGUUUAUGAGCUUGUUGUUGAAUGUGGUUCCUCAACUGGUGCAUUUGAUUAACCCAACUUGUGAAAUUUACCGUCAGUUAUAGCUACCGUGCUGUAAUUUCGCAAUCACUAGUAAUCUUUUUUUGGUUGCAUCUGAAUCUGAACGAAUAACCUUGGCUCGUCCUUCAGUUCUGUGUAUCCAUCUGUUCUAAUUUGUGUCUCUGUUUUUCCUGUUUCCAAUUUUUAAUUUCGACUCUUGCAACUGCUGGAAAAUGACUCUUACUCAGAUGUACCAUGAUCACAACUACACCACUAAAUAUGAUGCAGAUAGACAAAAGAUGUUUCUAUUUUGCAGGUUCAUAUUUGUUUGUUCUAUGAUCGAUGGAUUUCCUCACCUGCAAAUUCUGCAGUGUGAUUGAGGUAGAAAGUGUAACUAAAGAUGGCACAGGUGAAACUGCUAGAUCAGAAAGAAAUAUAGAUCUGUUGAGUAACUUUAUGUUGGAAAGAGGUCAUUUGAUGAAAAAGGAAUGUAGAACAGUCUUUGACUUGUUCAUAAUGCUUCGCUGCAGAGGAAAAAGGAUGCCAGAUUUCUGGUUUAAUGAACUGAAGAACCAUGAAAUCCUAGCUGAGGAGGUGAGACGCUGCAUAUUUUUGCAAUAGAAAUUCCUUCUCUGAACGGUCGGACAUGUUUUUGCUCCACUUUUCUUAAGAUCCAUCUGCAUAUAAUUUUUGUUUUGGCGUCUAUUUUAUCGUUUAUUUACAUGUACCCAGGUCCAGGAAAGACAGACAAGGAAACUCUUAGGAAUUCAAUUCAAGGUACAGAAUUAGCAUUGAAACUUCUGCGUGAGCAUGACUUUAUUUAUCUCUCAUUUCAGUAUUGUAGUUGCAAAACGAAAUGGCGCUGUAUGUAGUAGUGCAGUUCUGUGCUUUAAGGUUUUUUCUCUGUUCUAAAUGUACCUUGUUGCUUGCCAGAUUUGCCUAUCUUGCCCGCCGCAUCUGUUGCGAGACGUCCUAGUUUGAGUCGUGCCUGCGGGUGGAUAGAUGUGCUAGGUCGUCAGUUUGUGUCGAGCGGUGGAAAUGCUCUGGUGCUGUAGUAAAAAGUUACCUUGUUCUUGCCGUGGUGGCGUGAUCUUGAUGGUAACAUCCUUUUGUCAUCAGCAAGUGAAAAAUUGGAUAUGUGUGCUGAUACAUGUGCUUUUCAAUCCAUAUUUUUUCCUUAUGUGGCUGUCUUCGAACGCAAAAUUUCGUAAUUCAAUAAUUUAGUCUGUCGCCUCUGAACCAGAACGAACAUCAUGCUAAUAUGCUCGUCUUGUGUUCUGUGCAUUGACGAGUUGCAGGCUUGCAGCAUAGUAGACCUGUUUUUCCUUGCAUCUGAGCCUGUCCUCGAAUGUGACUCACCAAAUGAUUCCCAGUUCGGUGUCAUAUUUCCUGAUGGUUUUUAGGUAAAUCGCUCCGAUUCUUAUCAGCUUAAAAUAUCCCUUGGCAGCGUCAAAUUUCAUAUUCAGUCAUCCGUUUUGCUACCUCUGAACUUGAAUGAACAGAUGUUAAAACGCUCCUACAGUUAUGUGUUACAUAACAAUAGCAGUAUGCUUGAUGUCCAGUAUGCAGAUUCUUUUGAAGGGCCUCCUGAUAACCACAUGUUUGUCCUGUCCGAUGACUAGAAGUGAUCCUAGCUGCCACCAUGCCUCAGCCAUGGGUGCAUGCAUGCCCACUGCAAGUGCUGUAUGUUUUUUUUAAAUAACAAGUGCUGUAUAUUUUUAUUUUUUUGAAAUAACAAGUGCAGUAUGUUUGAUCAUGGGUCACUGACAAUGUUGUUUCAUGAUUGUAAUAUCCUGAUGGGUGCGGUUUUAUCCUCUAGACUUGCUGUUGCAAGCACAAAGAAGAAUAAAGCUAUCUUGAGGGAGCUCCACUGCCAGCUGAAGGACAAGAAUAUGCAAGCAACUUCAGACUCCAAUUUAACUUGUUUCCUUCUCUCUUAAUUAGUCUGCCUCUUGGAAUGUAUGGAAGAUACCGGGAUGGAUCAGUUCAGCUGAAACUUGCCGAUCUUGCUUAUGCCGCCCACACACCUUUCCACCUCUAGAACCAAGACAACCUCUGAAUGCAUAUUAAUACAGGCCAGGCACUUGUUAUUCUUAUUCCACACCAAGCAACAGUCACAUAUCACAGCAAGCAAGGAACUACUAUAACUUGAUGAUGACCGAUGCAUCUGGAGAUGUCGGGCGCAUGAUCAUUUCUCUACUAGCUAGGUUAACUAGGUGCCGCAGGGUGUGAUGAUUCGGGUGGAUCGACAUCAUAGGCGAGGCGAGACAGAGCUGUGACGACGGUGCCGAUGGGCGAUCUCAUGGCCGGCUGUUGGUGGACGCACAUGGAAGCAACUGUGAGGGCCUCCUCCAAAUCCAUGGACAGGUACCGGCCCUGCAGCGCCGGGUCUGCCAUCCUUCGCAAUCGGCUCCUGUCCUUCAUCAAUCGUGUGGCCUGAUCCAGCAGCAAACAUGACAUCAUUCACUCUGUAGAUUACAAAUAAUAUGUGAACGGUAAUGGACUUACCCAUGCGAUAAGGUUCCGAUCCUCGUCGGCGGGCUCAAUGGGCCUCCGCCCUGUGAUCAUCUCCAGCAGCAGUCCGCCGAAGCUGUACACGUUCGACUCCUUGGUCACCUUCCCCGUAACGUAUGUCUCGGGGGCAAUGGUAGUGCUUCCCCAGAAAUCAGUACACCAGCCUUUGUUAUCCUCUGCAAGCAACCGUCCAAGGUCUGCCAGUCCAUGCUGGGACAUCUUUGGGUGGUAGCCAUCUCCGAGCAGGAUGUCCAAGCUACCCAUGGAUUUGCGGUACACCACACCUUUGUGGUGCAGAUACUCUAAACCUUUGGCCACACGGGCAGCUAUGUUCAUCCUUGUGUUCCAGUCCAACGGUGCUUUGCCUGCUGAAGACCGGUCUGGUGAGGGGAGCACAAGAUCGAUCCGGUGGUUAAUUAACACAAACUCAAGCGAUCGAAUCAUGAGCGGAAUUUACAGGGUUUGGCAUGAUCCAAACAAAAAUUUACCACGGGGGUGGAGGUGAUCUUUUUUUUUUCCGAGAGUACGCCAAUAGCGUACCGUAUUUUUAUAGAAGGGAGAAAAAGUUUUACAAGAGACGAGCGAUCAAUGCGAACAUCGAUCACCCAAGCACCCACUCACACCUACGGUAGAUCAAUCGUGAUCUCUCACAAAACGUUCUAAUCCACCCACUCCAACACCUGCAAUAUGCCAAUCACGAAUCUCCUCAAGGAUGGCUCUAGCUAACUCAUUGUAGUCCUUAACCUGUUCCGAUCUGUUGAAAACUUUAGCGUUUCUCUGUUUCCAUAGCGACCAAGCCGCAGCAAUUAUGAGUGAAUCGAAACCUCGCUUUUGCUUCCCAUGGAAUCCCACUCGUGUCCUUAGCCACCAGUCGACAAAAGUGUCCGUGCUGCUGGGAUGGGGUAUGUCAAUUUCCAGGGUGUCCAAGCACUUAUGCCACACUUGUCUAGCAUAGACACAUUGCACCAAGAUGUGCUCAGCCGUGUCCUCAUCCUGCAAACAAGUAUAGCAUGGCGAUGGGUUAUCUUGCAGGCCAUGGCGUACCCGUCUGUCCGAUGUCCACAAUCGAUGCUGCACCGCAAGCCAGGUAAAGAUUUUGCACUUUAAUGGCGCCCAGCUACGCCAAAUCGCCACAGCUGUAGGUGAUACGAUCGCACCCUGGUUGAGUCUCAUGUAGGUGGAUCUCGCCGUGUAUAAACCUGAUGGAUCAUGCGGCCAAGAGAACGUGUCCUCCAGUAGCUCAUCUCUCGGCACUGUCGCAAUGGCAUGUCUCAAAUGGACUGUUUGCAGCAAUGCUCCGAAGGUUGUCUGUGGUUGCACGUCGAGUGCCCACCUUUCUCCGAUCAAAGCCUGGGCAACCAUGCGUGAGUUUCUGACCCUAUUCUCCACUCCCGCCACAAGCAACGGCGCUAUAUCCCUGACGGAGAGUCCAUGAAUCCACCGAUCCCUCCAAAACAGGAUCUUGUCUCCUUUGCCCACUGUGAUCUGCACCAAGCUAUCGAAAACGAGCCUCGCAUCUUCAUCCACCAUGAGUCCCAGUCCAUGCCACGGCCUUUGAGGGUCUGUGCGCCUCAUCCAUUCCCAGCGCACCCUAAGUGCGAGCGCUUGCAGUCUCAGGUUUUUAACUCCCAGGCCUCCGAAGCUAGUCGGCUUGCAGAUCGUAUUCCAUGCCACUAAGCAUUGGCCUCCGUUCACUUGAUCUUUCCCCGCCCAAAAGAACGCUCGCAUCCAUCUAUCAAUAUCCUCGAGCACCCAGCCAGGGGCCUUCAUCGCGAGCAGUUGAUGCACAUGUCUCGCUGCGAUGACCGAUUUCACAAGUACAAGCCGGCUUGAUCGCUGCAGCAGACCCCUCUGCCAAGCCGGGAGGCAGUGCCGCACUUGAUCCAAAAGGGGCUGCCAAUGCGCCUUCGUGAGAUGCUUGAUGGCCAGUUGCAGUCCAAGGUAUUUGCACGGGAAUUCUCCAAUGGGGCAUUGCAACAGAUUCUGCACUCUGGCUUUGUCUUCCUGGUCCUCCGAGAUCAAAAUCGCCGACGAUUUCCUGUAAUUGACCCCCAGUCCCGAAGCUUCUCCAAAUAGCUACAGUGCGAUCCUGACGAAUCCCAGAUCCUGAAUGUUUGGCUUGACGAAUAACGCCACGUCAUCCGCAUAUAUAGAUAGUCGCUGGGUCGCCGAGAUUCCGGUGUAUGAGCUUAGAACUCCAUCAGCCAUGGCUUUGGAAACCAAAGCCGUGAGGACCUCCAUUGCAAUGACAAAAAGCAGCGGGGAGACCGGGUCCCCUUGUCGCAGCCCUUUUGCAUGCCAGAUCCUUCUUCCCGGGGCUCCAUUGACUAGCACUUUGGUGCUCGAAGUAUGCAGCAGGACAGUUAUCCACCUGAGACAUCUCCCUCCAAAGCCUUUGGCGCCGAGCACUUCGAACAAGAAGGGCCAGGACAGGGAAUCGAAGGCACGAGAUAUGUCGAGCUUUAGGAACACACCUCUGGUUUUCCUCGCGUGAAUCUUCGUGGCCACUUGCUUAACAAGGAGGUAGUUGUCAUGCAAGCUUCUUCCGCGGAUGAACGCGGACUGAUUGGCAGCCACUAAAUCCUUCAUGAAAGGCCUAAUCCGAUUAGCCAGUAGCUUGGCGAACAGUUUGGAGAAACUGUGUGGUAGACUAAUCGGUUUGUAAUCGCCCACCUCCAUAGCAUCCUGCUUCUUGGGUAUCAAAACGAUCAGCGCGCGGUUUAAUCUGGCGAACCCUCGGUCAUCCCCAACGCAAAGCUUUAGGAGCGCUGCCAUGAUGUCAUCCUUGAUAAUUGACCACGCCUUUUGGUAGAAUUCAGCUGUGAAUCCGUCCGGCCCAGGGGCCCUGUUCGGGGCCAUCUCUCUGAUAACAGACCAAACCUCCUCGACAGUAAACAGCGCGUCCAAACUGCUCAAGUCUUGCUGCGCCAAGCCUAGCUCUUGAAGAUUGAGCGUGUGAUCCCUGGCCUGUGCUGUGCCAAGGGAGUUUUGAAAGGCCUCUGUGAAAAUCUCUUCUUUGCGGGUCUGGUCAGUGGCAAUCUCAUCUCCUCGUUUAACCUGCGGUAUGAAGUUCUUCGCUCUCCUGCCGUUCGCAAUCAACUGGAAAAACUUUGUGUUAGCGUCUCCCUCGCGAAGCCAUCUAUGUCUUGAUCUUUGCCUCUCGAUUGUACGUUCAAGUGACGCCAGCCCCAGAAGUGCAAGCUUUAGCGUUCUUCUUAGCCACGUCUCUAACUCGGUGAGCCCUCUAGAUUCCAUAGCUUGAUCCAGUCGGAGGAUUACUAGUGUGGCAAUGGCGAUCUGGAGUUUGAUGUUCCCCACUUUCCUCUGACCCCAAGCUUGUAGCGCCACCGCGGCAUUGCGGAAGAGCGCGUCUAGUCUCUUGAAUGGGUCCACAAUGGAGUGAUCACAAACCCAGGCCUCCCGAACCGCCUGCUCAAAACCCUCCAAUUUGACCCAGAAGCUCUCAAAACGAAACCUCUUCUUCGGCCAAUAUGUUGCACUGGUCGAUAAGUGUAGCGGCGCAUGAUCCGAAACACCAGUCGAGAGCGCCUGCAGUAGAUAAUCAGGCCGCGCCAAUUCCCAGUCUACGGACACGAGGAUCCUGUCUAUUUUGGUCAUGAUUGGGUCAUCUCUCUCGUUGGACCAAGUGAAACGACGUCCGUGCAUGUAGAGCUCUUUCAACUCAUUGCUGUCGACAAAACUUCUGAAUUUGUUCAUCAUGGCCCGAUUAAGAUUCAUAUUAUUCUUCUCCGAGGCGCGGAGGAUUAGGUUGAAGUCACCUAGAACCAUCCACGGCCCCGGACAUGUGGUUCUCCUCGUGCACAACUCCUCAAGGAAAAGGGUCUUCUGGUCGUCGCCUUGUGGCCCAUAUACCACGGUGAUCCACCAUUCCUCUCCAGACUUUGGAUGCACCAAGCCUGUGAGGGAGUUAGUGUCGCGCGUGAUAUUAUCCACCAUCAUCACGGUGGUAUCCCAUGCUAGAAUGAUCCCACCUCUCGUGUCCGCCGCCGGCAAAUAAGCAAAGCCGUCUAAAGACGGGCCACAACAUUGCAUUAUGAGAAAAUUAUCCACUACAUCAAGCUUAGUUUCUUGCAAGCACACUAAGUUAGGCCGCACCGACACUAAAAAGUCUUUCACCGCUUGUCUCUUGGCUGGGUUGUUCAAGCCUCGGACAUUCCAACACGUCACCGAUGGGUUUGUAUCCAUGGAGCAGAUGUGCAUCCAACGCCCAGCACGCCACACAUCUAGUGUGCACCGAUUCCAGCCGCAGCCCCAGAGCAAGUGCCACUGAGCUGCCCUGGCAUCUCUUUGCCGAACAGGGCUGCGAUCACGCGCACGUGCUGCUCGCGAAGAGGCGAGUCAAACAGUGCCUUAAGCUCUUGCACGGCUGCGUCUUCUACGUCCAAGUCUUCCGGUACGAGUCCCAGCGUGCGCAAGAGAACGUUCUCCGCUGGCGUGGCCCUUGGCGCUACAUGCACUGCUGAUUUCUUGGCAGCACGAGUGGUUCUUCUGGGCGUGAAUGGCUCAGCCUCGACCCGCAAGGUGGUGGCCUGGACUUCCCUGAGAAUUGGUGGGGCCAAUUUCUUCACAAUGCUUGAGCAGAACACCUUGAGCUUUGCGUACAUCUCCGCCUCCUUGGUAGUCAGUCCUGUUGCUGGACCGUCCGUCGCUACAAUCUCCAUACCUGUCCCCUUGUCACAAACAUCCGAGGGCCGCUGUGCAGGCAGAUUGCCCAUAUGCAUCACCAAUGGCUCGUGUACGUGGAUCGUAUUGCAUGCAAGAACUGCGUGGUUCCCAUCAGUGCGGGGCCCAGUCAUCCUGAGGCCAUCCAUCGAUUGCAUGCAUUCAUCCAGGGGGGUGUUGCCGGGUGUCCCUUGAGUCUGCGUCUCCACCAUGGCCUCAUGUGUCGCUGUGUCCUGCGUGAACACGGGGGGCGCGCUCGCCAACUCACGUGUCGGCUCUACCCGCGGUGCGACAGGAUUGGUCACAUCCGGGGGCCCAAUUUCCCCACCGCCUUGGGAUCCUGGUCCUGCCUUCUCCGAAGCGACAGGAGGCACAACCACAGCAGGCUCUGCACUCGUUUUGGCCGUAACCGAUUGCCCAGUGGCCACUCCUCCUUGGGGUUCUUGGUUUCCGUCCUUAGUGGCCACCAGCACAAGAACUGGCCCCAUCUGCUGCAUCGGGGCUGCCACCUGCGGACCCACCCGGAGCAUUCCAGACUGGACAACCGAUGGGCAUGUGCCUUCCCCUUCUUUUCUCUGCUCAGACUCUGCACGCCUCAGCAACCGAGGCGGAGGAUUGGCCGUUGCUUCCGGAACCGUUCCACCACUCCUGUUUGAAGUCGUCAUCACUUCACCCCUAGUAGCAUCCACAGUUGGCGCGCGAUUCGAAUCCUCUCUCCUGGCCUGACCGGUCAAACGCUGAAAAGCUGAAACUCGUCUCGUCAGCCUGCACAGGAUAGGGAUUGGUGGGGCCCCAGGCGUAGCGACCGGCGUGGCCUCCAUGGGAGGGAGGCGCCAAUCGUGUCCCAACGGUCUGGACCAGGCCCCACCCCCGCCACCAGCGGCGACGCCGCCCAGGCCGCCGGAGCGGGUGUCAGGGACCCCAAACUGCCACACCAACCUGCGCGAUCUGGGUCCGCCACCCGCAAUGUCGUCGUCGUCGGGGAGGCCGCUUUGGCCGCUGCCCGACGAGCUCCCAAAGAACCAAGGCUCGCCAGCCUCUCUCAGAUCCAUGAUCAUGUCGGUGUGUAUGAGCACCUUGUACUGCAGGAGAGCGGGCGGCGCCUCCAGUCCAGGCUCCGGCACCGCCUGCCAUCUGAGAGCAGGAAUCUCAUCCGGGCUCGCCGUCCAUGCCGUGAGCUUGAACGAGGACAGAUCGGAGCGGGAAUCCGUCUCAGGAGCCACCUCCUCCACCUUGCAAGAAGACCCAAGCAGUACCUCCACCACAGAGCGAUCCCACGCAUGGGGGGGAUGCCCUCGAUCACCAGCCACACCUUGAAUCCGAACACCGAAUGGACUGCCUGUGAUUGCCUAUUCCAUGGCCUGAAAAUCAGACGAUCACCUUCAAACUCCACCGAGGGGCACGUCGUCACUCUGUUCCGCAUCUCCGCGGUCGCAAAGACCACCAAAAAGUCCUCCGGCCUGUAGAAGUGCACCGAGACGAGCUCCGGGGCGAUGUCGAGCUUCCCGGCGAGGAUCUCCUUCACACGCGCCGGUGCAAGAACCCUCCUUUGACCAGCCACGUAUGCCACCAUGGCGAACUGGAGGCGCCGCUCAAGGUCGGACACAACAGCAGAGCGCUUGACGACGCAGAGCUCCGCCGGCGCCUCCUCGACUCUGCUCUCCACUUGCAGACGCGGCGGCGCCAGAGGUGGCCACUCCACGUCGACACCCGGCGCCACGUUCUGAACCGACAAGCUGACACCUUGGGGCGCGGACGCCGGCGCCAACCGCGGCGGGGGAGAUGAGCGGCGCGCCACCUUGGCCACCGCCUCCCUGCGGAGGUCGUCCACCGACGACGGGCUCCUCGGCCUCUUGCAGUCCCGGGAGCCAUGGCCGGGCAAGCCACAUCUGAAACAGACAAUCUGAUUGGUGCACUCCUUCUUGUAGUGGCCCUUCUCCAAACACUUGAAGCACUUGUCACGCAUCUCCGGGGCAACCACAACGGGCGGCGACGCAGGCCGCGCCGUCGGCGAGCGCACGGUCGGGCCAACAGGGCUGCGCCUCAUCCUCCAGAGCUCUUUCUUGGAGGGAGGCGGGCGCUCCCACGGAGCCUGCCCGUCCCCCGGAGCAGGAGCGUCGAGCUCCGCCGCAGCAGGCCCCUGCGCGUCCGAACCCUCGGAGCCGGAGGAGAUCCCCAGACCCGACACCACAGGGCGCUCACCCGGCGGCCGGAACGACGAGGUCACAGAUCUGGGACUGGCGGCCAUGGGGAGGGGGGAGAGGCCAGGGGGAGGGGGGAGAGGCUAGGGGCGGCGAGGGAUGGCCGCCGGGAGGCAAGGAGGUGGUCGCCGCAGUCGGAGUGGCUGCGGCGAGAGCGCCCAGGCGCGGUGGACGCCGGCGCCGGAGUAGCGCGCGGCGGGGAGCGGGAAGCGGGGAACUGUGGUUACUCGGUGGAGGUGAUCUUCGAGAGAACCCAAUGGCACGUGCUCGUGAACCAAGAUUCUGUAUUGGCCGUCCGCGCAGAAGCCAAUGAGGUUGACGACAUUCGGGUGGCGCAGCGCGCUCAGCGUCAGGACAUGGGCGAGAAACUCGCUGUUGAGUUGCUCCGCGGCAUGCUGCAGGUUAAUACUCCUACUAACGAUCUACAAACGAAUACGUAUGACAUGCCGGUACAUAUGGAACUGAGGAAAAAAGGAUUAGUCUGCCACCCAGGACUGUCACCACCUGGUUGAUGCUCUUGAGGUAGCCUUUGUAGAGACCCGCCUCCGGACCAAAGACGCGGGAGUCGUCUCCGAAGUUCCUGGUCGCCGCCGCCAGCUCGUCCAAGGCGAAGGCCGCGAGCUCGUCCCAGGCGAAGGUUCCUGCCGCAGCGGCUCGGCGCGGUUCGGCCCGGGGAGGCGGUGGGACUUCCUUCUUCCUUGGGCCCAGGCAGAGGAAGCAGCUGGCUCGGCUGAAACCACCCAUUAUUCAGCCCUUCGCCGGCGGCGAGGUUGGUGUCGGCUUCUGCUUGGACUGAGGAAGUUUGAAGCGUGGGAGUGCCUCUCCCUCAGCUGACACACCGCGCACACCGCAUGCAUUGCUGGUUGGUUGCGGCCUUAAGUAGCACGGCGUAGCUUGUCGAAAAUGGAAACCUCAACCUCCAAGAAACGGUACGUACAUGCGGGAUGUGGAGGACGCCUGUCGCAGGGUCACCAGAGUACUCGGUGCCUGCUCCUGCCGCUGCCGUAGCGACACCGACAGACAUGAAGAGAGAGGCCGGUGUGCCGGUUCCGGUCAGCGACGUGUAAGUUGUCUUAGCGGCAUCGAACAUUUAGCCAUGCUUAAGGCCCGUUCGGAGGCUCUCCACUCCUCGACUCUCUCCCGGAGCGGCCGGAGCUACAGUUUAAAAUUAUGGAGUGGCCGAAGAGGUACUCCGCAGAUCCUCGUAUUCUGCGGAGCUGGGCCAGUGCCGAACAGGGCCUUAGUGUCUAGCUAGGUCUGCUCGUCUGUAAUUUCUUUUAGCUGUCUUUGAUUUCUGUUUCCUCUGCUUCGCUGUCUUCUCUUUUUCUUUCACCUCUAUCGCUCAUUUUUUGGGUGCAUUUGCAGUGGAUGCUUUUUUUUUUUGCCUUGUGGCCGUAGAAAAAGCUCAACUCCAAAUCGAUCAUAUUCUGCUCCUCUCUCCUUUUUUCUCCAAAUAAAGCGAGUACAAAAGCUUGGUCAUAUUCAGUGUAGGUGUCGUUGAGAAUGUCAUUUUCAUUAGUGUUGUCGGUAAUUUGGGUAAUUUUUCUGAAGUUGCCUUCAUGUAUAGUUAACUGUCUUAGUUCUUCCAAAUUGUCGAGUUGGAGGAGCACACGAUUACAGUUCUCAAUGAGUAAACUCAAUUUGGAGAUCGAUUUGUUCCAACUCUUUUAGUGCAUACCUGAGGCGUUUUAACUUAGCAGGCAGAGAUGUGGCACUUGUUGUAGCUUUAAUGAGGGCAAACCAAGACUGCUGAAUUACCUCGAGAAAACCCGGAUGCUGAAAAUUUUCUGAGGUAAUUCAGCAGUCUUGGUUUGCACUCAUUAAAGCUACAACAAGUGCCAAAAACUUCCGGAUGCUUUAAUGAGGGCAAACCAAAACCUUCCGAAUCUGAAAAUUUUGCAUCUCAGAAUUCCAGUCUGAAUCGAAAGGGCACACAGAACAUGGUCUGAGAUGGGACAAGACAAAGGAUCUAUCUAUCUAUCUAUCUAUCUAUACCUAUACUAAUUACAGACUCCCUAGAAAUUACCACGUUAAUUAGAUUUUACGGGCUGUUAAUCUGGUGGGACCGAAUUAUUACGGUUUAGAUUGACUCAUAUAACUCUCAGCUGAAAUUUUGGUCAAUUGUGAAAAAAAUCAGGGCCCACAAUUGUUCAUUUGUUGUAACAAUAGAAUCCAAUUAAGACACAAUUCUACUACCAAUCCACCAUUUCUUCUCCUCUAAUUAAAGCAAUCUCUUUCUUUUUUAGAAAACUCAUCUACUCUAGCUCCUUCUGUAAAAACAAAAAGACGAAAGAAAAA